GAUGAACGCUAGCGGCAGGCUUAAUACAUGCAAGUCGAGGGCAGCGCAGUGUAAGAAUAAAUGGGCGGCGACCCGGCAACGGGUGCGGGACACGUACGCAACCUUCCUUUAAAUGGAGAAUAGCCCAGGGAAACCUGGGUUAAUUCUUUGGAACAUUAUGAGAUGGGAUCAUCUUAUAAUUAUAGCUCCGGCCCUUCAAGAUGGGAGUGCGUCUGAUUAGGUAGUUGGGGGGGUAGCGGCCCAACAAGCCUGCGGUUAGUAACUGGUGGGAGAGCACGACCAGUAACAGGGGAACUGAGAAACGGGCGCGACUACUACGGGAGGCAGCAGUAAGGAAUAUUGGUCAAUGGACGCAAGUCUGAACCAGCCAUGCCGCGUGGAGGAUGAAGGUCCUCUGGAUUGUAAACUUCUUUUAGUUGGGAAGAAACCCGGGAUUUCCAUUCCGGUUGACGGUACCAGAUGAAUAAGCACCGGCUAACUCCGUGCCAGCCGCCGCCGUAA
rnacentral:rRNA from 1 species